GCUAGACAGCUAGCUUAAACCACCAAAAAUACCAAAACAACAUUAUCAUGUUUUACAAGGACAAUAAUACACCGAACUAAAACAUUUUACCGCCCUAGUAUGGGAGACAGAAAAGGCACCACAAAGCUAUAACCAAAGUACCGCAAGGGAACACUGAAAGAGAAAUGAAAUAAAUCAUUAAAGCAUAAUAAAGCAGAGACUAGCCCUCGUACCUUUUGCAUCAUGAUUUAGCCAGCAUCACUGAGCAAAGAGAACUUUAGUUCAAAACCCCGAAACUAAGUGAGCUACCCCGAGACAGCCUAUUAAUUAGGGCCAACCCAUCUCUGUGGCAAAAGAGUGGGAAGAUCUCCGGGUAGGAGUGAUAGACUUACCGAACUUAGUUAUAGCUGGUUGCCUACGAAAUGAAUAGAAGUUCAGCUUCGCACUCCUCAACUCACAAAUACAAAACACGAGCCAGAGAAAUAUGCGAAAGUUAAUCAAAGAAGGUACAGCUUCUUUGAAACAGGACACAACCUAACCAGGAGGUUAAAGAUUAUACUCCACAAGAUAUGCCGCUCUAGUGGGCCCAAAAGCAGCCACCCAGACAGAAAGCGUUAAAGCUCAGACGGAUUAAAAAUCUAUUAUUCGAAUACUCAAUCUAAAACCCCUAACCCUAUUAGGCCACCCUAUGCCAACAUAGAAAAGAUACUGCUAAAAUGAGUAAUAAGAAAGAACACCUUUCUCCUAGCCCACGUGUAUGCUAGAUUGGACCAGCCACUAGCAAUUACCGAACCCAAUCAAUAGAGGGUAAUGUGUCCCACACCAAACAUCAAGAAAUAAACACACAACUCAAUCGUUAAACCCACACCGGAGGGCCAAACUAGGAAAGACUAAAAGAAAAGGAAGGAACUCGGCAAAUACAAGCCUCGCCUGUUUACCAAAAACAUCGCCUCCUGCAAAAAUCAAUGUAUAGGAGGUCUUACCUGCCCAGUGACAAGUUUAACGGCCGCGGUAUUUUGACCGUGCGAAGGUAGCGCAAUCACUUGUCUUUUAAAUGAAGACCUGUAUGAAUGGUGGAACGAGGGCUUAACUGUCUCCCCUCUCAAGUCAAUGAAAUUGAUCUGCCCGUGCAGAAGCGGACAUAUAAAUACAAGACGAGAAGACCCUUUGGAGCUUUAGAUAAAAGAUCACCUAUGUUAAGGACCUAGACAAGUCAAACCAAAUAGAAAUUGAUCCUAAUCUUUUGUUGGGGCGACCACGGGAAAAAAUAAAGCUCCCACGAGGAUUGGGCCACACCCCAAAACCAAGAGAGACAUUUCCAAGUCACAGAACAUCUGACCAUAAAGAUCCGGCCACCCGCCGACCAACGGACCAAGUUACCCUAGGGAUAACAGCGCAAUCCCCUUCCAGAGUCCAUAUCGACAAGGGGGUUUACGACCUCGAUGUUGGAUCAGGACAUCCUAAUGGUGCAGCCGCUAUUAAGGGUUCGUUUGUUCAACGAUUAAAGUCCUACGUGAUCUGAGUUCAGACCGGAGUAAUCCAGGUCAGUUUCUAUCUGUAAUAGCUACUUUUCCCAGUACGAAAGGACCGGAAAAGAAGGGCCCAUGUUACCAAUACGCCCCAUCCCAACUUAAUGACGCCAACUAAAUUAAACAAAGGGAAAGCAUAAACCCAAAUCAAGACCAGAUU
rnacentral:rRNA from 1 species